rnacentral:rRNA from 1 species
GAAAGGUGAAAAGUACCCCGGAAGGGGAGUGAAAUAGCACCUGAAACCGUGUGCUUACAAGCGGUCGGAGCGGACUUGUUCCGUGACGGCGUGCCUUUUGCAUAAUGAGCCAGCGAGUUAGUCUUCCACGGCAAGGUUAAGGAAACGGAGCCGUAGCGAAAGCGAGUCUGAAUAGGGCGAUUCAGUCGUGGGAGCUAGACCCGAAACUGAGUGAUCUACCCAUGGCCAGGUUGAAGCGGGGGUAAGACCCCGUGGAGGACCGAACCCACGUCGGUUGAAAACGGCGGGGAUGAGCUGUGGGUCGGAGUGAAAGGCUAAUCAAACUCAGAGAUAUCUGGUUCUCCCCGAAAUAUAUUUAGGUAUAGCGUCGCGCGUUCAAUAACGGUUGUAGAGCACUGUUUGACCUAGGGGGCCUACCAGCUUACCGAAGCCAGGCAAACUCCGAAUGCCGUUAUUCCAGAGCGCGGCAGUCAGAGUGCGGGGGAUAAGCUUCGUGCUCAAAAGGGAAACAGCCCGGACCGUCGGCUAAGGUCCCUAAUUCCAUGCUAAGUGGGAAACGAUGUCCGAUUGCACAGACAACCAGGAUGUUGGCUUAGAAGCAGCCACCAUUCAAAGAGUGCGUAACAGCUCACUGGUCAAGUGGUCGGGCGCGGACAAUGUAACGGGGCUCAAGCAUGGAACCGAAGCCACGGACUUCACGCUUGCGUGGAGUGGUAGGGGAGCGUUCCCAGGGCGGUGAAGCGGCGGCGUGAGCCUUGCCGUGGAGCGCUGGGAAGUGAGAAUGCUGGCACGAGUAACGAAAGGCGAGUGAAAAACUCGCCCGCCGAAUGCCCAAGGGUUCCUGAGUAAAGCUAAUCUGCUCAGGGUUAGUCGGGACCUAAGCCGAGGCCGCAAGGCGUAGGCGAUGGACAACAGGUUGAUAUUCCUGUACCACGUCCCAAUCGCUAUUACCGAUGGGGGGACGGGGUAGGCUAGGGCAACCCAGGCGAUGGUCGACCUGGGACAACCGCGUAGGGUGGCUGGUAGGGAAAUCCGCCGGCCGUUAAGCCUGAGACGGGACGUCGAGGCCCCUUGGGGCCGAAGUGCUUGAAGCCAUGCCUCCUAGAAAAUCCCCUAGGGAGAUUGGUCGUGCCCGUACCAAAACCGACACAGGUGGGCAGGUAGAGAAUACCAAGGCGAUCGGAAGAACCCUCGUUAAGGAACUCGGCAAAAUCGCCCCGUAACUUCGGGAGAAGGGGCGCCCCGGUAGAGUGAAAGCCCCUCGCGGGCUCGAGCUCGAUGGGGCCGCAGUGAAACGGCCCAAGCGACUGUUUACCAAAAACACAGGUCUCUGCGAAGUCGUAAGACGACGUAUAGGGGCUGACGCCUGCCCGGUGCCGGAAGGUCACGAGGAGAGGUUAGUCUUCGGGCGAAGCCUUGAAUCCAAGCCCCGGUAAACGGCGGCCGUAACUAUAACGGUCCUAAGGUAGCGAAAUUCCUUGUCGGGUAAGUUCCGACCUGCACGAAUGGCGUAACGACUUGGGCGCUGUCUCAACGAGGGAUCCGGUGAAANNGUUGUCCAGGAUAGGUGGGAGACUUUGAAGCGGAGACGCCAGUCUUCGUGGAGUCACCCUUGGGAUACCACCCUUCGUGUUCUGGGCUUCUAACCCGCUGCCGUAAUCCGGGGCGGGAACAGCGUCAGGUGGGUAGUUUGNNUCCUAAAAUGUAACGGAGGCGCGCAAAGGUUCCCUCAGCACGGUUGGAAAUCGUGCGUAGAGUGCAAAGGCAUAAGGGAGCUUGACUGCGAGACGUACAUGUCGAGCAGGCGCGAAAGCGGGCCUUAGUGAUCCGGUGGUAACUAGUGGACGUGCCAUCGCUCAACGGAUAAAAGNNGAGACAGUUCGGUCCCUAUCCACCAUGGGCGCUGGAGCUUUGAGAGGAGUCGUCUCUAGUACGAGAGGACCGAGACGAACAGACCUCUGGUGUAUCAGUCGUCGUGCCAACGGCGCUGCUGAUUAGCUACGUCUGGAUGGGAUAACCGCUGAAAGCAUCUAAGCGGGAAGCCCACCUCGAGAUGAGAGCUCCCAUCCCCUAGAGGGAGUAAGGGCGGUCGGAGACUACGACCUUGAUAGGCGGNNCUUGACAGUUCGGCGGUCAUACCGGCGGGGAAACACCUCUUCCCAUUCCGAACAGA